GUUUGGAAGAAAUUGGCUGCAUUGGAGCCUUUUUUUCCUUUGGAGAACAGUUUUAGCAUAGUGGAAAGGAACUUCUCUAACAAGGUGUCACUGAACCAAGAUGGAUGAAAGAAAGGCUCGUCUUUGACCUCUUCAUAGCACUGACAGUAAACAAUGAUACGUAGACCUCUAUGAAGAUGAUACUGACGUAGGAGCACCUUAGUUAUGCUCAGUUUGUUUGGCCCCCACAAUAUUCCAUGUUGCGCUGUACUAUAUUCAUCAUUCAUUCGGAGUUUCUAAGAGUCUAUCUAUGCAGUCAGUUGGCAAGCUCAUCCUUUAAGAAAAUGACAGUGUCUUCUUAUCGAUUUUACACUCAGAGAUCAAUCAGAUUUACCCUGACUCAGACAAAAUUUACAGCGUUCCCUGACACAGCCCGCAGCAUUUGGACCAAGGCAGACGUUACAAGGAAGCAAUAUAUCAUGUUUGUAUGUAGAGCCUGACACGCUUAAAAAUAAGCUAAUCUGUAGUGGAAUUUCCUUCUUCUUGACAAGCUGAUCUGCCCAGCAAUUCGCUCUUCUUGUUAUAAAUUUAUUUCCCAGCUCCGCUAUUAAUUAUAACAUUCACACAGGAUACAUGUAUUUAAGCCCGCAGGGAGGUCAUCUGCUGGGUAGUUUCGGAUAAAAUAUACACUAACAGAUCACUCCUACUUAAACAAUGUAAAGUGUCAGUUUGGGAGCUCCCCAUAACAGAGCUAGUGGCGUUCUAUCAACAGCUGUGAUCAGUUCUGACACUGCAAUGCUAUUAUAGCUGGAUGAUGGACCAUAUAUAUUUAUAAACAGCCUUAGUGUAAAUUGCAGUGUCCGAAUCUUUUGUGCCUGUAACCAACCAUAUUAAAUAUAGUAAUUACAGAAAAGACACUGACUGUGAUACUGAAACAGUUGUUGGCUAAGCAGCCUUAAAAGCACAGCAGUGCUUCCUUUGUAAAUAGUGAUGUUAUUAUUGUCAGGAAAGAAUAUAUAAUCCUAAUAAUUUCACGGAAAUAAGCAAAUUAUGUAGAAUUAUUCUAUGGCAUCUCCUUAUUCUCCUUAACUUACAGUACCUAAAAUGAAGGAUAAUGAAGACGUUGUACAAAAUGAUAAUUACUGCUACAGACUCUUUGCAUUGCCAGUAAAGUCCUGUUUGAUUCACUCCACUGUUCGCCAAAGUGUAAUGUGAUCAACAGAUUAAAAAAAACCAUUUGAAUCUAAGUGACCAUUCAAACUUAUGUGCCUUACUUUAAUAGACCAAUCUUUUUUGCUUGCAAUUCCAUUCAUGAUUAUUGUGCUAUUUCAUCUCAGAUAUUUCACUAUACGUUCAAUGUUUGCAUCCAUGCAACUGUUGCUGCUGAUACUAUUGUUCAACUGUGUAUUUUUGGCCUGUGGUCUGUGCAAUGCACAAAGGAGGACAAUAAAAUACGAAUGGGUCAUAGGAUCCCUUACUAGCCUGGGUUGCCAUGCCUUGACUGCCUUUAUUCAACAAAUUAUGGGAAAUUAAAAAACUGAAAUCACUACAGAUCUUUACAUCUUACUCCUUAUCCAUGAGGAAGCAGAGGCUAGUAUCUUUACAGCCAAGGAUAUAAUUCACAUCCCCUAAUAGCCAGGUGUAUAUGGGUUAAAGACAGUGCAUACCAGUUAUAUUUUUCAGUACAAGCCCAAUAUUAUUAACAGUAUAAUACCCCUCCCCUUAGCUACCAGGAAGAGGCCCAUUAGUGUGACUGUCAGCCCAUGAAAGAUAGAUAAUAACUGUACAAUAAAUGUAGUCACCUCAGACAAGUACUGACAAGUACUGUCUAUCUAAAUAUUUGUUAUACCCAUUGCCCCAUGACUCCAGGGGAAUGGCCUGGUGCUUUCUUGCCUCCUGAAAAAAAACCUAUUAUUCAAUUCUGCUAAUGAUGUGGGCUGCUGCCCAGAAGAAUCAUUUUUUUCUUGGUUUAAUAGUAAAGUACUUGCACCACCUUUGCCUUGCAUAUCAUGUUCCAAACAUUCAGAUUCAUGUUCAAAAAUCAAGAUUUUCUUACAAUAAAAUGUUACUUUUUGCAAUGCAGAUAAUGAUGGGCUAUAUUUAUUAUCAAGUCUCCCAAAUGCUUUGCAUCAGAA